CUGCGGAAGGAUCAUAACGAAUUAUUCUUCUCUGACUAUUGUUCUUGAGCCUAAAAAGGCAAAUUGUUAUACAAUGCCAUUUGACACAUCUUCAACGAUGGAUCUCUUGGCUCCCACCUCGAUGAAGAACGCAGCGAAAUGCGAUACGCAGUGCGAAUUGCAGAACCGCGAGUCAUCAGAUCUUCGAACGCAUCGGCGCCAAGAUAUCUUGGCAUGUUUAAUUCAGCGUGUCUAGUCAUCAAAUAAUAUGUGAUUGAGGUAUCUUUCACUGAGAAUGUAGUAUCGUUGAUAAUUCCAAAUGGUCACGAAAGUGAUGGAAUAAUCAAAAACGAUGUUAUAAAAAACACCUGAAUUAAGCAAGAUUACCCGCUGAACUUAAGCAUAUCAGUAAGCGGAGGAAAAGAAACUAACAAGGAUUGUCUCAGUAGCGGCGAGUGAAGAGACAUCAGCCCAAGAUGAGAAUCUGCGGUGAGAAACCGUGGAGUUGUAAUCUCGACAGUCAUUCGCGUUCAGACUCCCUGGCUAACUUGCUUGGAAGAGUAGGCCAUAGAAGGUGAGAGCCCUGUAGGCUAGGGAAGAGGAGUAAGCGAAUGUUUGGAAGAGUCGGGUUGUUUGGGAAUGCAGCCCUAAGUGGGAGAUAGACAUCUUCUAAGGCUAAAUACCGGUGGGAGACCGAUAGCGCACAAGUACUGCGAAGGAAAGAUGAAAAGAACUUUGAAAAGAGAGUUAAAAGAUGUGAAAUCGUUGAAGCGGAACUGAUCGCAGCCCGUCCAUGCCUUAGUCUCGUACAAUGCAACAAGUCCACCUACACUCAAAUGUAGAGACCAAAUGCAAAAGUACUGCUGAGGACAAUCACAGAAUCAACUUUGUAUUAGAGAGAAACAGCCUAACUGAGUUUUGUAGGAUUAUAAUCUAAUAUAGAGUUGAGGAUGAUUCUGUGAAAGCGACUGUGAUCGACCCGUCUUGAAACAC
rnacentral:rRNA from 1 species